UACGGAGGGGGUUAGCGUUGUUCGGAAUUACUGGGCGUAAAGCGCGCGUAGGCGGAUUAGUCAGUUAGAGGUGAAAUCCCAGGGCUCAACCCUGGAACUGCCUUUAAUACUGCUAGUCUUGAGUUCGAGAGAGGUGAGUGGAAUUCCGAGUGUAGAGGUGAAAUUCGUAGAUAUUCGGAGGAACACCAGUGGCGAAGGCGGCUCACUGGCUCGAUACUGACGCUGAGGUGCGAAAGUGUGGGGGAGACAAAACAGGAUUAGAUACCCGGUGUCAGUCC
rnacentral:rRNA from 1 species